AGAAGCCCUCGGGCCCUUGGGGAGGGACGGGCACUGUUCCCCAGAGCAGUGCAAUCAAUGCUGGGAAACUGAAGCUGCGAGUGUCCGAGGGACCCUGGGAUGUCUCUGGGGUCUGCGUAGGUACCCAUGGAGGAGCAGAGAUGGUGGAUGAAGGAGGCCGUGGAGGAGAAAAGAACACAGGAAUUUACCAGAAAUUGGCAGGCUGUGGAAUUGAUGGAGUCCACUUACUGUCCAGGCCUAAGGGGUCCAAUAAUCCCAUCCUUUGCCGAAAGCUUUACUGUGGGACUGGCAUCAUUUCAAGCAUUUAAUCCUCGUCCCAACUCUACGAGGAAGGGUCUCGCUUUGUCACCCAGGCUGGAGUGCAAUGGUGCAAUCACAGCAUACUGCAGCCUCAACCUCCCAGGCUCAAGCAAUCCUCCCACCUCAGCUUCGUGAGUAGCAGGGACUACAGGGGUGUGCUAUCAUACCUGUCUAAUUUUUUGUAUUUUUUUUUGUAGAGACAGGGUUUCACCAUGUUUCCCAUGGCUGGUCUUAAACUACUGGUCUCAAGCAGCCCACCCAUCUCAGCAACCCAAAGUGCUGAAAUUACAGGCAUGAACCACUGCGCCCAGCCAAAAAUUAGCUAUUUUAUUGUCAGUAGAAUCGUUAAAAUUAUUUUAUGCCUUUCCAAGAUAGCACGUUACCCUUGGAGAAACAGCACAGAGCAGGAGCUAAGAACACAGACUCUGGAUUCAGUCUUCAUGACUUUAAAUCCUGGUUCUGUCAUUUUUCAGCUCUGUGACCUUAGGCAAGUUAUUCUACCCCUCUGUGUCUCAGUUUCUUGAUCUUGAAAAUGGUAUUAAUAAUAGUACCCACCUCGCAGGCUCUUGUGAGGAUUAAAUGUGAUGAGACAUGUAGAGGGCUUAGAACAGCACACAAUGAAUAUUAGCUAUUAUUAUUUUCCAACAUUCACGAACUUCUCAGUAAAUGAAAACUGUCAUUCUUUCAGUGGUGGGUUUUGAUCAGUGGCAGGCUAGUAGCAACCAGCUGUCCUAAAAAAAUUGUAGGCCAGGCAUAGUGAUACAUGCCUGUAACCCCAGCACUUUGGGAGGCUAAGGUAAGAGGAUCACUUGAGGCCAGGAGUUUGAGACCAGCCUGAGCAACAUAGCAAGCUCCCAUCUCUUAAAAAAUGUAUACAUGUAUGCAUGUACAUACAUACUUUUUUGUGUGAUGAAUUUUACUGAUUUAAAGGAUGUGUGGUGCAAAUUUUGCAAAUAAUAAUAAAGUU
ensembl:lncRNA LINC01404 long intergenic non-protein coding RNA 1404